GACGAACGCUGGCGGCGUGCUUAACACAUGCAAGUCGAACGAAGUGGCGAACGGGUGAGUAACGCGUAAUCAACCUGCCCCUCAGCGGGGGACACCAGUUGGAAACGACUGCUAAUACCCCAUACUGAAGGGGGGGAUUGCGUCUGAUUAGCUAGUUGGAGGGGUAACGGCCCACCAAGGCGAGGGUCAGUAGGCGGUCUGGGAGGAUGGACGGCCACAAUUGGACUGAGGCACGGGCCAGAAUCCUACGGGAGGCAGCAGUGGGGAAUCUUCCGCAAUGGGCGAAAGUCGGACGGAGCAACGCCGGGUGAGUGAUGACGGCCUUCGGGUUGUAAAGCUCUGUUAAUCGGGACGCGGUACCGGAAUAGAAAGCCACGGCUAACUACGUGCCAGCAGCCGCGGUAAUAC
rnacentral:rRNA from 1 species